rnacentral:rRNA from 1 species
UACGUAGGGUGCGAGCGUUGUCCGGAUUUACUGGGCGUAAAGAGCGCGCAGGCGGUCGUUCAAGUCGCGUGUGAAAGCCCCCGGCUCAACUGGGGAGGGUCACGCGAUACUGAUCGACUGGAAGGCAGGAGAGGGUAGUGGAAUUCCCGGUGUAGUGGUGAAAUGCGUAGAUAUCGGGAGGAACACCAGUGGCGAAGGCGACUACCUGGCCUGUUCUUGACGCUGAGGCGCGAAGGCUAGGGGAGCAAACGGG